rnacentral:rRNA from 1 species
CACGUAGGGUGCGAGCGUUGUCCGGAAUUAUUGGGCGUAAAGAGCUCGUAGGCGGUGUGUCACGUCGGCCGUGAAAACCUGCAGCUUAACUGUGGGCUUGCGGUCGAUACGGGCAUCACUGGAGUUCGGCAGGGGAGACUGGAAUUCCUGGUGUAGCGGUGAAAUGCGCAGAUAUCAGGAGGGAACACCCGGUGGCGAAGGCGGGUCUCUGGGCCGAUACUG